CGAAGCUGGAUUCGCUAGUAAUCGCGCAUCAGCCACGGCGCGGUGAAUACGUUCCCGGGCCUUGUACACACCGCCCGUCAAGCCAUGGGAGCCGGGGGUACCUGAAGUGCGUAACCGCGAGGAGCGCCCUAGGGUAAAACUGGUGACUGGGGCUAAGUCGUAACAAGGUAGC
rnacentral:rRNA from 1 species